rnacentral:lncRNA from 1 species
UGGAAAUUCGGGCGAUCAAUGCCCUGGGCAAUGCGCUUGGCCUUAUGCUCUACCCCAGUAUGGUCCUCAAGGAGCCAAGGCCUUGGUGGCUCCCAACGCUGACGCUGGAAUGGACGGCAUGGUGAUCAACAUAGCGAGCAUGCUGGCCGGGACUGUGACCAAUCCUUUCAACAACGGAUACUACCAGGGUGAUGCCUCAGCUCCUUUGGAAGCUGCAACUGCGUGCACUGGUAUCUAUGGUGCUGGGGCUUACCCUGGCAACCCGGGGCAGCUGAUAGUCGACCCCAUUACGAGCGCCAGCUACAAUGCGCAAGGAGUCGACAGCAGAAAAUACUUGCUCCCUGCGUUGUGGGAUCCCGCCACUCUCACAUGCAUGCCUGUCUCAUGAGCUAGUGUUGCUUUACGCAUUGC